rnacentral:rRNA from 1 species
GGUAGAGCACUGAAUUUCCUAGGGGGCGUCAAAGCCUACCGAAGAAUAUCAAACUCCGAAUGCCGUGUAAUUGCUUACCAGGAGUCAGACUGCACGAGAUAAGUUGGGCAGUCAAAAGGGAAAGAGCCCAGACCUUCAGUUAAGGUCCCAAAGUGUGCGUUAAGUGGAAAAGGAUGUGGGAUUUCGAAGACAACCAGGAUGUUGGCUCAGAAGCAGCCAUUCAUUCAAAGAGUGCGUAAUAGCUCACUGGUCGAGAGGUCCUGCGCCGAAAAUGUCCGGGGCUGAAACGCACCACCGAAACUAAGGGAUCCGAAAGGAUCGGUAGAGGAGCAUUGCAUGCGGGACGAAGCAGUACCGUAAGGAGCUGUGGACUGCAUGGAAGAGAGAAUGCCGGAAUGAGUAGCGAGAUAGAGGUGAGAAUCCUCUAGGCCGAAUAUCCAAGGUUUCCAGGGUAAAGCUGAUCUGCCCUGGGUAAGUCGGGGCCUAAGGUGAGGACGAGAGUCGUAGCCGAUGGACAACAGGUGGAGAUUCCUGUACUAUGAUAUGACAGAACUGUGGGGACACGUGCAGAGAGCGGAAGCCGGGAAUGGGAUCCCGGUGCAAGCGAGGUACCAGCCGCAUUGGAAAAACCGUGCGGCAAUGGGAAGACGUGAUGCGGAGUGAAGUUUAGUAAUGAAGUCCGUGAGCUGUGCGUCAAGAAAAGCCGCUAUUGUUCAUACCAUACCCGUACCGUAAACCGACACAGGUGGAUGAGGAGAGAAUCCUAAGGCCGGCGGAAGAAGCAUUGUCAAGGAACUCGGCAAAAUGACCCCGUAACUUCGGGAGAAGGGGUGCCUGCGAGAGCAGGCCGCAGAGAAUAGGCUCAAGCAACUGUUUAGCAAAAACACAGGUCUAUGCGAAACCGAAAGGUGAGGUAUAUGGGCUGACGCCUGCCCGGUGCUGGAAGGUUAAGAGGAGAGGUUAGCGCAAGCGAAGCUUUGAAUUUAAGCCCCAGUAAACGGCGGCCGUAACUAUAACGGUCCUAAGGUAGCGAAAUUCCUUGUCGGGUAAGUUCCGACCCGCACGAAAGGCGUAAUGAUUUGAGCGCUGUCUCGACAAUGCAUCCGGUGAAAUUGAAGUACCAGUGAAGAUGCUGGUUACCUGCGCCAGGACGGAAAGACCCCAUGGAGCUUUACUCCAGUUUGGUACUGGGGUCCGGUAUUGCAUGUACAGGAUAGGUGGGAGGCUAGGAAGCAGUGACGCCAGUUGCUGCGGAGCCGCUGUUGGGAUACCACCCUUGCAGUACUGGGCUUCUAACCAGCCGCCGUGAACCGGCGGUGGGACAAUGCCAGACGGGGAGUUUGACUGGGGCGGUCGCCUCCGAAAGGGUAUCGGAGGCGCCCAAAGGUUCCCUCAGAAUGGACGGAAACCAUUCGAAGAGUGCAAAGGCAGAAGGGAGCUUGACUGCGACACCGACGG